UACGGGGGGAGCAAGCGUUGUUCGGAAUUACUGGGCGUAAAGGGCUCGUAGGCGGCCAACUAAGUCGGAUGUGAAAUCCCCAGGCUCAACUUGGGAACUGCAUCCGAUACUGGAUGGCUUGAAUUCGGGAGAGGGAUGCAGAAUUCCAGGUGUAGCGGUGAAAUGCGUAGAUAUUGGGAGGAACACCAGUGGCGAAGGCGGCUCACUGGACCGGAACUGACGCUGAGGCGCGAAAGCGUGGGGAGCAAACAGG
rnacentral:rRNA from 1 species